GUACUUGCUUCGGCGAGUACAUAUAAUAAAUUGGAUACGAUGCAGAGAGAAGAUUAGCAUGGCCCCUGCGAAAGGAUGACACUAGGUCAAAGUGAGCGUUUCCAUAUUUUA